UACGUAGGGUGCGAGCGUUAAUCGGAAUUACUGGGCGUAAAGCGUGCGCAGGCGGUUCGUUGUGUCGGCGGUGAAAGCCCCGGGCUUAACCUGGGAAUGGCCGUUGAAACUGGCGAACUGGAGUGUGGCAGAGGGGGGUGGAAUUCCGCGUGUAGCAGUGAAAUGCGUAGAGAUGCGGAGGAACACCGAUGGCGAAGGCAGCCUCCUGGGCCAAUACUGACGCUCAUGCACGAAAGCGUGGGGAGCAAACAGG
rnacentral:rRNA from 1 species